rnacentral:rRNA from 1 species
GGAAUAUUGGACAAUGGGGGGAACCCUGAUCCAGCGACGCCGCGUGAGUGAAGAAGUAUUUCGGUAUGUAAAGCUCUAUCAGCAGGGAAGAAAGAAAUGACGGUACCUGACUAAGAAGCCCCGGCUAACUACGUGCCAGCAGCCGCGGUAAUACGUAGGGGGCAAGCGUUAUCCGGAUUUACUGGGUGUAAAGGGAGCGUAGACGGCAAUACAAGUCGGAAGUGAAAUACCCGGGCUCAACCUGGGAACUGCUUUGGAAACUGUAUGGCUGGAGUGCUGGAGAGGUAAGCGGAAUUCCUAGUGUAGCGGUGAAAUGCGUAGAUAUUAGGAGGAACACCAGUGGCGAAGGCGGCUUACUGGACAGUAACUGACGUUGAGGCUCGAAAGCGUGGGGAGCAAAC